GCGGGGCCGGCGCGAGCUCCCGGCGCGCUCCGCUGCACGACGGGACUUGUAGUCCUCCAGUAUCGUCGUGGGCGGGGCCGCCCCGGAGGCGGGACGGGAAAGCUCCUGCGCGACUCUUUAGCGGCAACUUAAGAUCAGCAACGAGAGCUUUUGUAAAUUCCCCUGUCUUUCCGCACCACUCUUGUUCUCGCAGCCAGUAUUGAGAAGUAAGCGAUAGAGAACUGAUACCGGUCCUGAUAAACAGUUGAAUAGAUGGCGUCGGGAGCUACCUCUUCCUGCUCAUUUCCUGCCAAUCUUAGUGUUUGAUCCCUGGCUUAAGUUAUUUCUUCUGCCUGGAUUGCUGUCCGGCCUUGUUUGCUGAGCUCAUCCUUCAAGAUGAGUUGCAGAUCACCUCUUCUGGGAGCGUCCAUAGGUCCACAGGUUAACAUUGUCCUAUCGAGUCUUACUCUGCCAUCCAGGCAAGAGCGCAGUGGUGCAAUCUCGACUCCCUGCAACCUCUGUCUCCCAGGUUCAAGCAAUUCUCCUGCCUCAGCCUCCCGAGGAGCUGGGAUUACAGCUCAUUAUCUAUUUCAUUGUUGGAUCUGAAGUCUCCGCAAAUCACGCUGUGGGAUCUGUGGCUAUGCUCUGUACACCGUGGACGUGACUACAAUGGAGUAAGACCUUGGCAACGCUUCACCGAUGACCCAACAGGACAGAGACGGACAGAGGCAGAAUGCAGCCCCCACAGAGCACAUUUAACCUUCCAGCGGGGCCACGUCUGUCAAACAGAGGAAAUGAGUUUCUGUGACGCUCUCUCUCUUCCUCUUCUGAUAAAAUCAAAUUGAGUCUCAGAGGAACCCAAAGGCUUCUCCAUAGGACAGUUCAUAACAAGGCAGUGUACUUCAUCAGAACAAGCAAGUAAGAAGAGCUGGGGAGAAAGAGAGAAGAGGAGAUGGAAGUUACACACUCUUGGGAGCUAAUCUCAGAAGUGAUCGCUCAUCACUUGUGCCGUAUGUACUGAUUAGAAGUGAGUACCUAAUUUCAGCCACUAAAGGAGAAGGGAUAAUACAAGGAAGGGUGUGGUGGGAACACCAGG
rnacentral:lncRNA from 13 species